AUUCUAAGGUAAGGGUGAGACUAUCUCUCAUUAAUCAUAAUCUAUAAUUCCUGAAAUUGACCUAAUUGAAUAGUUUUUGAAAAAUAAUAUGAAAAUUAGGGUUUGAUGAUGAUUCUGAUGGAAUGAGUAAAGAUGAUGUUAGUUUCUCUGAAUUUAAUGUUAAGAAUGAAAGCUUGAUCCAUGUUGUUGCUACAAUCCAUUAAUUGAUUGAAAUUUUGAUGAAUUGUAUGAAUUGAUGAAUAUGUGGAUGAUGAUAGGAUGAUUCUGUGAUUGUUGCUGUUGAUGGUUGAAUUGUGUUUCUUUAUAAUGCCUAGUUGUAUAUUGGACCUGUA
rnacentral:lncRNA from 1 species